UGAUGGUCCAGCCUCGAGCUAUGU
rnacentral:piRNA from 1 species